ensembl:ncRNA lncRNA:CR46220 long non-coding RNA:CR46220
GCUCAAUUUACGAUCGCAGUCGCUGACGGAGGUGGCAAUCAACAACUGUUGCAUGUGGCUCCAAACUGGCCAGGGUCGUCGGUUUGUUCGCCAAAGAUCGAACAUAAUCUGCACUCUGCACGAGAACUAAUCACAAUUGGCAGCUGAUUGUCCCCUGACUCAGAGUCAUAUGAUGAUGUCGCAGGGCGAUGACAGCCAACGGACACUUCAUUGACAGCACAAAUAAUAUAUGUAGGUGCAAAAAAAAAACAAACUAACUGAAUAUAUAUAUAGCAGAUUGGUCGGCAGGGAGAGGAGCCGACACACCGGGGGAACCCAACUUGGCAACGCUGCGUAUGAGCAAUGCAGGGGCACCGAUUCCCAAAUGGCUGGCAAAAACUCAACGACGACGGCAAAUGAAGCAACAAAAUUCAGCAGCAGCAGCCGCAGAUUAAGAACCUUUUAAGGGGAUUAAUGAUUUUAAUUUUUUCCGUGCAUUCUGUUUGCCUUGUUUCCGUUUUCCGGCAGUUCCCUUUCUGCGGGGUGUAUCGACUUGCUGAUUGACUUUGAAUGUUGGUGAAUUUUG